rnacentral:snRNA from 1 species
GCAGCACGCGCCUAACGGCGUGC